GACGAACGCUGGCGGCGUGCUUAACACAUGCAAGUCGAACGGAAAGGCCUCUUUCGGGGGGUACUCGAGUGGCGAACGGGUGAGUAACACGUGAGUAACCUGCCCUUGACUUUGGGAUAACUUCAGGAAACUGGGGCUAAUACCGGAUAGGAGCUCCUGCUGCAUGGUGGGGGUUGGAAAGUUUCGGCGGUUGUGGAUGGACUCGCGGCGUAUCAGCUUGUUGGUGGGGUAGUGGCUUACCAAGGCUUUGACGGGUAGCCGGCCUGAGAGGGUGACCGGCCACAGUUGGACUGGGGAACGGGCCCGACUCCUACGGGGGGCAAGAGGGGGGAAUAUUGGAAAAUGGGGGGAAGCCUGAAGGAGGAACGCCGGGGGGGGGAUGACGGCCUUUGGGUUGGAAACCGUCUUCGCGCAGGAAGGAGGUGUGAGUGACGGUAGUGGGUAAAGAAGCACCGGCUAACUACGUG
rnacentral:rRNA from 1 species